rnacentral:rRNA from 1 species
CAUGCUAGACGAGUUUGACAUGGCUCAGAACGAACGCUGGCGACGCGCCUAACACAUGCAAGUCGAACGAGAAUCCGGGGCAACCCGGUAGUAAAGUGGCAAACGGGUGAGGAAUACAUGGGUAACCUACCCUUGAGAAGGGAAUAACCCGCCGAAAGGUGAGCUAAUACCCUAUACGCUAUCUUUUUUUCGAAAAGGAUAGGAAAGCCGGGUCGAGGACCUGGUACUCAAGGAGGGGCUCAUGUCCUAUCAGCUUGUUGGUGGGGUAACGGCCUACCAAGACUACGACGGGUAGCUGGUCUGAGAGGAUGAUCAGCCACACUGGCACUGAGAUACGGGCCAGACUCCUACGGGAGGCAGCAGUGAGGAAUAUUGCGCAAUGGGCGAAAGCCUGACGCAGCGACGCCGCGUGGGGGAUGAAGGUUUUCGGAUUGUAAACCCCUUUCAUGAGGAAAGAUAAAGUGGGUAACCACUUAGACGGUACCUCAAGAAGAAGCCACGGCUAACUUCGUG